GUUCCUACGGGACGCAGCAGUGAGGAAUAUUGGUCAAUGGGCGAGAGCCUGAACCAGCCAAGUCGCGUGAGGGAUGACUGCCCUAUGGGUUGUAAACCUCUUUUGUAUGGGGGGAAUAAGCUUUACGAGUAGAGUGAUGACAGUACCAUACGAAUAAGCAUCGGCUAACUCCGUGCCAGCAGCCGCGGUAAUACGGAGGAUGCGAGCGUUAUCCGGAUUUAUUGGGUUUAAAGGGUGCGUAGGCGGAUCGUUAAGUCAGUGGUCAAAUUGAGGGGCUCAACCCCUUCCCGCCAUUGAAACUGGCG
rnacentral:rRNA from 1 species